UACGAAGGAUCCAAGCGUUGUCCGGAUUUACUGGGUUUAAAGGGAGCGUAGGCGGGCUAUUAAGUCAGUGGUGAAAGCUUGCAGCUUAACUGUAAAAUUGCCAUUGAAACUGAUAGUCUUGAAUAUGGUUGAGGUGGUUGGAAUAUAUCAUGUAGCGGUGAAAUGCUUAGAUAUGAUCUAGAACACCGAUUGCGAAGGCAGAUCACUAAACCAUUAUUGACGCUGAGGCUCGAAAGCGUGGGGAUCAAACAGG
rnacentral:rRNA from 1 species